UACAGAGGGUGCAAGCGUUACUCGGAAUUACUGGGCGUAAAGCGUGCGCAGGCGGCUUUGCAAGACAGAUGUGAAAUCCCCGGGCUUAACCUGGGAACUGCAUUUGUGACUGCAUGGCUGGAGUGCGGCAGAGGGGGAUGGAAUUCCGCGUGUAGCAGUGAAAUGCGUAGAUAUGCGGAGGAACACCGAUGGCGAAGGCAAUCCCCUGGGCCUGCACUGACGCUCAUGCACGAAAGCGUGGGGAGCAAACAGG
rnacentral:rRNA from 1 species